AUUGAACGCUGGCGGCAUGCCUUACACAUGCAAGUCGAACGGCAGCGGGGGAGAAGCUUGCUUUUCCUGCCGGCGAGUGGCGAACGGGUGAGUAAUACAUCGGAACGUGACCUGUAGUGGGGGAUAACUAGUCGAACGAUUAGCUAGUACCGCAUACGACCCGAGGGUGAAAGGGGGGGACCGCAAGGACUAAUGCUAUAGGAGCGGCCGAUGGCUGAUUAGCUAGUUGGUGGGGUACAGGCCUACCAAGGCGACGAUCAGUAGCUGGUCUGAGAGGACGAUCAGCCACACUGGGACUGAGACACGGCCCAGACUCCUACGGGAGGCAGCAGUGGGGAAUUUUGGACAAUGGGCGAAAGCCUGAUCCAGCAAUGCCGCGUGUGUGAAGAAGGCCUUCGGGUUGUAAAGCACUUUUGUCCGGAAAGAAAUGGCUCUGGUUAAUACCUGGGGUCGAUGACGGUACCGGAAGAAUAAGGACCGGCUAACUACGUGCCAGCCGCCGCCGUAACAC
rnacentral:rRNA from 1 species